CUUCAACCUCUGAAAAGAUUUCAGAGAUUUGAAGAAAGGAUCCAAAUCAGUCAAGAAGAAGGUCUUCGCGCGAGCUAGCACUUUCAAGAAGAUCGAUCAGAUUGAGUGGAUUUCUCAUAGAGGCCGGACGCUUGUGCAGCUACGAGCAACAAGAAAGGAUCCUCUCCAUCAUGUAUUUCAACAGUGAAGAUCGUUGACCC
rnacentral:lncRNA from 1 species